AAAGUACUCCUUCCGUCCCAAAAUUCUUGUCUUAGAUUUGUCUAGAUACAGAUGUAUCAAGUCACAUUUUAGUAUUAGAUACACCUGUAUCUAGACAAAUCUAAGACAAGAAAUUUGGGACAGAUGGAGUAGUUG
rnacentral:pre_miRNA from 1 species